rnacentral:rRNA from 1 species
CCCUUAGAUGUUCUGGGCCGCACGCGCGCUACACUGACGAAGUCAGCGAGCAUGUCCUACGCCGACAGGUGCGGGGAAUCUUGUCAAACUUCGUCGUGAUGGGGAUUGAUUAUUGAAAUUCUUGAUCAUCAACGAGGAAUUCCUAGUAAGCGCAAGUCAGCAGCUUGCGUUGAUUACGUCCCUGCCCUUUGUACACACCGCCCGUCGCUACUACCGAUUGAAUGGUUUAGUGAGAUCUUCGGAUUGGCGCCACUGCGGCUCAGCAAUGGGCUCGGUGGAUGCCGAAAAGUUGAUCAAACUUGAUCAUUUAGAGGAAGGAAAAGUCGUAACA